CCGAUAACUUUUUAAAAUAUUAGGCUUUCUACUAAAACGUGUAGGCCUAUUGUAGCCUUAAUGUGUAAUAUUGUGUAAAUAUUGUAAAUGUGCAAUAUUUAGCAUGUGUACAAUGAUAGGCCUAUAUUGGGCAUUUAUCAUUCACACAUUUUAUUAAAAUUGUCAUUAGAUUCAGUUGACAUUAUAGGCCUUUUGAGUUGCUGAGAUUUGGAAUAAACCCACUUAAGUUCAUUUGUCCAGCAAAAGAAUUUAAUAAUAAAUAUAACAUUAAUAACAGUGGGGUGUGAGUAAUAAAAUAAAUUUUAAAAAAUCAAGGUCCCCUUGUCUACAGUAUGCCUCAUACUGUAGGCCCAUGCCGGUCCCAAAAACCCCUUUGAAAACCAUGGUUCUAGACCAUUGCACCAGCAUAACGGAUGACCCCUCUAACUCAUCCCAUGGACUCUUCAUGCCUCCUGCCAUCUGGCAGAAGGUACAGGAGCAUCCAUGCCAUCACCAGCAGACUCUGCAAUAGUUUCUUCCCUGAGACAAUCAGAUUACUCAACAUCCUGCUGCCUCUCAACACUUAUCUGGGCUAGUCAAACACCUAACCGAGUCUUGAGAUUAUGGUCCUGGAGAAACAGCAUUUCAUUCCAAUACACUAGAGGUGUUCCUAUGUCGCUAGGGUGGUGCAUUCUGUUUUUGUGAUGGAGAUAUGAGGUAUAAUCAUAAAAAAGUUUCAGUCUUUUAAUAUUGUCUAAAAGUUUUGCGUAAGUCCUCUCUAAACUAUAGAGUUUUUUUCCUUAUUGGGAUUCAUUUGAUCAGUGUUUAUAAGGGUUUUUCACAUGUCCUUCAAGUUACUGUCCACCCUGUUAUAUCUGUCUACACUACAUGAAAAAUGUCAAAUUUGGAAGGAUAUGGAAAUAAACUCCCACUUAACUUUAAGUUUGUCAGAUGUAUGAGGAUAAAA